rnacentral:rRNA from 1 species
UACAUAGGUGGCAAGCGUUGUUCGGAAUUACUGGGCGUAAAGGGCGCGUAGGCGGUUCGUUAAGUCCUGUGUGAAAUCCCCCGGCUCAACUGGGGAACUGCACAGGAAACUAGCGGGCUUGAGUUCGGGAGAGGGAAGCGGAAUUCCGGGUGUAGCGGUGAAAUGCGUAGAUAUCCGGAGGAACACCGGUGGCGAAGGCGGCUUCCUGGACCGACACUGACGCUGAGGCGCGAAAGCUAGGGGAGCAAACGGG